rnacentral:rRNA from 1 species
GAUGAACGCUAGCGGCAGGCUUAACACAUGCAAGUCGAGGGGUAACAGGGUAGCAAUACCGCUGACGACCGGCAAACGGGUGCGGAACACGUACGCAACCUACCCUUACCUGGGGGAUAGCCCGAAGAAAUUCGGAUUAAUACCCCAUAGUAUCUUUUGGUGGCAUCACCUGAAGAUUAAAGAUUUAUUGGAUAAGGAUGGGCGUGCGUCCUAUUAGCUAGUUGGUGAGGUAAAGGCUCACCAAGGCGACGAUAGGUAGCUGGUGUGAGAGCACGACCAGCCACACGGGGCACUGAGACACGGGCCCGACUCCUACGGGAGGCAGCAGUAAGGAAUAUUGGUCAAUGGACGCAAGUCUGAACCAGCCAUGCCGCGUGGAGGAUGAAGGCCCUCUGGGUUGUAAACUUCUUUUAUCUGGGACGAAACCACCUUUUUCUAAGGGUGUUGACCGGUACCAGAGAAUAAGCACCGGCUAACUCCGUGCCAGCAGCCG